GCGAGUAUGGCCCUCACGGGUCUAAUCCACCAUAAACACCUUUGUGAACCAGUCAGGGGGACUCGGCCAUGAAAGCCCAGGCGAUUAGCGGAAGGGCCGUCCUUUGCAAACCCGUUUAGAAGUCUUGAAAGUACUUUUGUAUAAUCUAGUA
rnacentral:misc_RNA from 1 species